rnacentral:lncRNA from 1 species
AUACCUGUUAAAAUGAAGGUGACCCAUAGAUAACAUGAUAUGGAGAAUGAUUUUGUUUGUACUUGGCAUACAUGAGAUUCUAUCGUUCAAUCAUGGUUGAUACUAUUUAUGUCGAAUAAGCUCUUUGUGCAUCUCUCCGUAUAUAUUAUUAUGGCUUGUUCUCUUAUCGUUAUGGAGUAUGUGGUAUUUGAUUUUGGAGAUUGCAUUCAUCUUGUGGCACUGCAUCACAUUGCAUUACAUUUCAUUGCAUUGCAUUUCAUGGCAUUUGGAGUUAUGUCGCGAGCCUAUGGUUGCGAACGUACCGGUACAUCACCGUUUAUUGGGCAUAACGAUGCAUCUUCAUACCUUGUUAGGUAUGAAGGCAUGAGUUCAUAUGCAUGCAUAUGCAUAUAGCAUCGUUUAUUGGGUGUAGCGAUACAACUUCAUAUCUUGAUGGGUGUGAAGGCAGCAGUUCAUGUGCAUUGAUAUGCAUUUCUGAAGAUUUUGGAUGUUGGAUGUGAUGAAGUUACCUUGUGCCAACAUACACUACGAUGACUUACGGGAUUUUGGAUAUACCGUUUGUGAACUUUUUGUCAUUCACAUAUUUUUUUUAUAUAUGGAUAAUUGAAUAUUGGCAUGAUAAAGUUGCAAUGAAACUAAUAUGAUAUGUGGUGCUUCUCUAUGGUGAUGUGUGUUAUGGUAUGGCCUAUUAACUGUGGAGAUAUUAUAUGUGUUGUUGCAGAGCAUUCCUAUAGACUUCAAUGGCAUUGCAAAUGUUAUUCUAUUUUUUUUUUGUUGUGGUAUAUGUCCUACAUUUAUCCUACCUUUAUUUCUAGUUGUUAUGGAGACCUAUAUGCUAUGGCUUUUUUGAUGGUUGUUAACUAUUGUUCUACAUGGAUCUUAUAUUAAUUGUUAUGGUAGCUCUUGUACAAACUAAUGUUGCUUUGUCUUGCCAUGAUCACCUAAUUCUUGGUAUAUCAUGUAGAUUGGUGGAGCUGUUAAUACUUGUUACUUUAUCAAAUAAUUGGUUAAUCUAAUGUGGUUUAAAUAGUUUGUUAAAGUAGUUCACUUGCUGAGAUUAUUCAAUCUCACUCUUGUUUUUCCCUCCUGAGGUUGUCCUUUGAAGCUAGUAUGGAGGGAAGUGGGUUAGUUGCACAACAUACACUUUCAUGUUAUCCCACGUAAUGCUAAGAUGUAUUCUUCUAAGUUUAUGAUAUGUUAGGGUAUUCUUAU